UGGGGAAUAUUGGACAAUGGGCGAAAGCCUGAUCCAGCAAUGCCGCGUGAAUGAUGAAGGCCUUAGGGUUGUAAAGUUCUUUUAGCAGGGAAGAAAAUGACGGUACCUGCAGAAAAAGCUCCGGCUAACUUCGUGCCAGCAGCCGCGGUAAUACGAAGGGAGCUAGCGUUUUUCGGAAUUACUGGGCGUAAAGAGCGCGUAGGCGGUCUAUUAAGUUGAAAGUGAAAGCCCAAGGCUUAACCUUGGAAUUGCUUUCAAAACUGGUGGACUAGAGAGUGAUAGAGGAUGGUGGAAUUCCUAGUGUAGAGGUGAAAUUCUUAGAUAUUAGGAGGAACAUCAGAGGCGAAGGCGACCAUCUGGGUCACUUCUGACGCUAAUGUGCGAAAGCGUGGGUAGCAAACAGG
rnacentral:rRNA from 1 species